GACGGAGGAUGCAAGCGUUAUCCGGAAUGAUUGGGCGUAAAGCGUCCGCAGGUGGCAGUUCAAGUCUGCUGUCAAAGACCGGGGCUCAACCUCGGAAAGGCAGUGGAAACUGAACAGCUAGAGUAUGGUAGGGGCAAAGGGAAUUCCUGGUGUAGCGGUGAAAUGCGUAGAGAUCAGGAAGAACAUCGGUGGCGAAGGCAGCUUACUAGGAUACAACUGACGCUGAGGCACGAAAGCGUGGGGAUCAAACAGG
rnacentral:rRNA from 1 species